rnacentral:rRNA from 1 species
GGCUACGGCCACACCUCCCUGAGCCACCAGAUCUCGUAUGAUCUCGGAAGCUAAGCAGGGUCGGGCCGGUUAGUACUUGGAUGGGAGCACGCCUGGGAAUACCAGGUGCUGUAAGCC